rnacentral:lncRNA from 1 species
UAUGCAAAUACCCAACUUGACUCAGCUUGAUUGCAGACCCUCAUUGAGAUAAUAUACAUAUCUGUCCGCAUUUCGAUUGUCUAUUCCAAAGAAUCAACUAUGCUACGCCAAUAAACAACUUCUUAGCCUCAAAGCCAUAUAUAAAGACUUAAAAAAAUAAUUAAAAAAAAAAGCCCACAAACACACAAGUAGCAAAAUAAACCGUGAUAUAAUACGUGCAAACACAUAAUCUGGUACAGUUUUUAUUUUUUUGGGGUAUAUAAUCUGCGCUCUGAAUUGCACAAAAAACAAAAUCACAUUUUUAUGGUAGCCUUUCUGUGGAAAUACCUAAAAUCAAGUUUUCGUCCAUAAGUUACCGGAAUUAUCAUAGAUUCAAAAAUAAUAGAAUCUUACGCCCUUUUCUUUGUGUGUUUUUGCCUACACUAACACCACCAAUUAUUUGAUGGAAUGCAGACAAACCAAAUUCAAAUGAAACAAAUCAAAUGACAAUCAUUUACAAGCAAAAUGACUUCUCAAAAAAAAUUCAAUCAUGAGGGGGUGAAGAAAGAAAGGAACCUGAGUGGAAGUUCGUUGAUUUGAGAUGCUGAUGGGUUUGAGAGCGGACCAAAUGAAGCAGUGCAGUUCUUGCCAUUUCUAAAUUGAACCCUACCAAAAAAAAAAAAGGAGCAAAAAAAAAAA